rnacentral:lncRNA from 1 species
AGUGCGUUGCCUUUUUUUCUCAUGGUGACUUUCUAUGAUGACUCUUGAAUUCGGCUAUCUACUAAAAAUGCCUUCAGUUCAGCAUGUCUGUACCUGCCAUGAGUCCGCUGGAUAAAGAUAGCAAUGCGUCUCGACAACCGGAUGCAUGUGCUGAUGUCACAUGUCAGUUUGGCAGCUGUGUGUUGGUGCAUGAUGAGCCUGUAUGUGAGUGUAUGCUGGGAUAUACUGGGGAAACCUGUCAGGAAACAGUCAAUGAGACUCUGGUUGUCCCUCUCACUCUCGGCGUCCUGACUGUCACCAUUUUCUGCAUUGUCCUGUUAUUUUCCAUUGCAAUUUUCUGUCAAAAGCUAAAGGCAAAAAAGAGAAAGAAGGCGGCUGAACAAGCUUUGUUAAGAAAUAGAGAGUGUCAUUGACAUGUCUUAAUGCGUCAUUCCAGAGAAAAGUACAGACAACACAUCUCUUACACGCUACAUGAAAGAACAUUCUAGCAUUACAUUUAAAUUUAUAUUCAUUGUGCAUGAAUUAGAGCUGUGCUGUUGUUAGAAGAAUAGAAGUGUCACUGAAUGUACUCCACAAAAAGUAUUUUAGGUCAAAAAGUGCAUAAAGUUCACAAGAUUUUUUUGGAUUAUUUUUCUCCUGUACUUGCGGGGGCCAUACAUGUGCAUUCAAAUAAAAGAAACUAGUUGCUGAGACAUGCCAAGCAUUUCAGUGCUAUUGUGGAUUUAGAUUAAGGUCAUGCGUGACAGGAGAGUCUGAAUGACUGAAAGCAGAUGAGAUUCGUAGACUGAUGGAUCAGUAUUUUUCUUUGACGUGUUCAUGAUAUACAGUCACACUAUUCUCAAGGCCCUCUGUUGCUUUUAAUUUUGUAAUUACACAACUGUUUACUGUGCAUGAUAUAUUUAUAUUAACAUUACAAGCUUUCUGUACAGUAUUUUCUAAUAAAGAUUUGUUUAUGACUGCUAA